rnacentral:rRNA from 1 species
UACGUAGGAUCCGAGCGUUGUCCGGAUUUACUGGGUGUAAAGGGUGCGCAGGCGGACUGGUAAGUCAGUGGUGAAAUCUCGUCGCUUAACGACGAAACUGCCUUUGAUACUAUCAGUCUUGAGUCCGGUAGAGAUCUGUGGAAUUCCGAGUGUAGCAGUGAAAUGUGUAGAUGUUCGGAAGAACACCAGUGGCGAAGGCAGCAGAUUGGGCCGGUACUGACGCUCAUGCACGAAAGCGUGGGGAUCAAACAGGAUUAGAAACCCCGGUAGU